CUACAUUGUGUGUCAAAUCCUUUCUGAAUCCUUUUUGUUGCAUAUAUGAGAAGACAUUUAGAAAAAGAUUUUGGAAUGCCUUUAAUCUUCUAAAUCAACAAUAAAGAAAAAAAUGAAAUAAAGGUCAAGGUUUUGAUAUACUGCUUCUAAAGUACAUCCCACACUGAGUAAAACACCAUGAAAUCAUCUGUCAGAACUGACUUUCUUCCAGAGACUACAUUCCAAGAGCGUGAAGAGAGCAAAGUGGCUAUUGGAUGGUUUCCUUAGAUUCCAAUGCACCUUAAUCAUAUUCACAAGACUGUACGUUUUCAUCACUGCAGGAGCUGGCAGAAUUUUGUGACAAUUCUGGGAAAUGCUUUCAGAUGGCCCCUUCUAUGAAUUAUGAAUGUUUCACAAAGCUCUAUGGUAAAUGGAAUAGCCUUGUUCUCCACAAAUGCAGGGGUGGAUUAAGAGGUGGCCUUCCUUUGUUUCUUUGCCUUGAAAUUUAAUAUUGUUUGCAAACAGAGAAAUUAAAUCUCGAUGAAGGUUCCCAUGGGUGAAUUUGGUGUUACAGCAAGAUUUGAAACUGUCUGACCUGAUAGGGGUGAAAAGAAUCUGGCUGGACUGUCCACCUCUCACUGUGGGGGCAGCUCCUGGCUUAGAAGUUCUAGACCAGGUCCAAAGGCUGUUGACAGAGAACCCACAUCUUAUCACAGGAGAUUCCAAGGAGUCACACAGAUGGCCCCACGGAGGGUCAAGCUGGAAGAGGAAAGGGAAGGUGAAAUAUGAGAGAAGCUGAAAGGAUAUACAGCAGGAAGACAAGCUUUCAAGGAGCUUCAGUGUGUGCAUCUGCAUUUAGACCACAAACAGCAACAGUGCUGGAAUUUCCACUCUCUGAGGUGUUAGGUAUGACAGUCCCAUGGUAGGGAAAGUUAUUUAGAAAGAAUCAUGCAAAAUUGAAGAGAAUGUUUAGAAUGUUUAUUUAAUAAGCAUCAAGUUUUGCUCAAGCUUAAUAGAUUCUCAACUGUGUGACUUUAGGAAAUACAAUCUGUACAGUGUUUCUGAAGUAACCACUUACCAGACAAUAAAACAAAUCAUACAGCUAAAAUAAACAUCUCAAAAUUAUCUGCCCAGCCCUCAGCUUCCCAACCACUCUGCACAGAUAUGUGUCUAUUUUAUACCUAAAUAUUACCCAAAGUGGAAACUUUUAACUAUCCACCUAUACCUCAUUUCUGUGUUUUAUCACAGUAAGUCCCAAUUCCAUGAAUUUGCUUUUGCCAUUUUUAUGACACAUCAAUGGCUGUCCAAAAGACUCCAGAAAUUAUUCAACUUCCAGUAGGUCACUGAGAAAGGCCAAGAGAGAAAAUUUCCAUCAAAUGGGUACUUUCUUCACCAGAAAUAGGGGUGGAAGACUCUCUCAACAAGACACCACAGAAGAGAUCCCAACCUUCCUUGAUGAAAGGAUGCUAGGUGCUCAAUAAAUGCUUCAUGAAGAAAUGAACCCAAUCACAUGCCAGGCUUUCAGACUCAGACUGGGAUUACACCAUUGGUUCUCCAGCUCUCUGGAGAGAGAGCUUCCUGGGUCUUCAGUUUGCAGAGAGCAGAUCAUGGGUCUUCUCAGCCUCCAAAAUUGUGCCUUUAAGAAUACUCACUAUUGGAGCACUCUCUCUAAGAACCCACAUGCAGAGGCCACAUAGAGGAGCUUCAGUUGACAGCUCUGGCUAAGCUCCAACCCAAUAGCCAGCAGCAGCUGCCAGGCUUGUGAAUGACAUCUUGGACAUCCAGCUCAGUCAAGUCUUCAGAUGACUCCAGUCUCAGCUGCCAUCUGACUGCAACUGCAUGAGAGAUUCCAAGUAAGAAUUGUCCCAGUUGAGCCCAGUCAACAUGCAGAAGUUGGGAGAUGAUAAAAAAUUAUUGUUUUGAGACACUAAAUUUUAGAGUAUUUAAUUUUGCAGUAAUAGACACCUGAAACAAUGUUUUCUUCUGAGUUAAUUUGCGAAUUGUGAAAAUUUUCAAGAGAUGGUUAGUAAAAGUUUUUGUGUGCAUAUUUCAAGUUUAAUGUACCUGGUGCUGAAAACCAUUUGGAACUGUAAGCAUGUU
rnacentral:lncRNA from 10 species